rnacentral:RNase_P_RNA from 1 species
ACAGCCGGUCGGUCUGUCGCUUGCUGGUGUGCAAGAGGAAAGUCCGGGCAACGCAGAGCAUCCUACUUCCUAACAGAAAGCUAUCCGCGAGGGUGGGGUAACGUAGAAGAAAAUAACCGCCAAACUUCUUUGUACAAAGAAGCGGUAAGGGUGAGAAAGCGGAGUAAGAUUCCGCUGGGCAGGUGGUAACACGCUGUACCGUACGUCCUAGGAGUUGCAAGGUCAUGUAAACCGGCGUUAUGAGAGUUGCUCGCUCCAUGUCGGAGGGUAGACCGCUUAAAACGACGCGGUGACGCACCGUUCAGAUAAAUGACAGGCGUUUCGACAGAUGUUGGAAUACAGAACCCGGCUUAUAGACCGGCUGUUUUU